rnacentral:rRNA from 1 species
AUGACUGCUGAUAAGCUUGCUGCCUUGGUUGCGGUAGCAUUGCUCGGUUGUGUGGUGCACACAUGCCAAGCGAGCUACGGCUAUCCCAACCCAUUGCCGCCCAUCCCAAGCCCGACACCUCCUACGGCACCGGCGCUCACCCUGGACUUCUACAGCUAUUCCUGCCCUAAUGCGGAGGCAAUUGUCAAGGAAGCCGUAAGGAACGCCACAGACAACAAUCGCGGCAUCGGCGCCGGGCUCAUCCGCCUCUUCUUCCACGACUGUUUCGUCAGGGGUUGCGACGCCUCGGUUCUCCUAGACGCGACGACGGCCAACCCGGAGCCGGAGAAGCUUGGCAUUCCAAACUUCCCCAGUCUCCGCGGCUUCGAGGUGAUCGACGCCGCAAAGGCGAAGCUUGAGAAGGAGUGCGGUGGGAUUGUCUCGUGCGCUGACAUCGUCGCUUUCGCUGGGCGCGACGCCACCUUCUUCCUCAGCAACGGCGUGGUAGACUUCAAAAUGCCGGCUGGCCGCUACGACGGACGUGUGUCUUUCGCCAACGAGACCCUCCGCGACCUGCCCCCUCCCUUCGCCAACGUCACGGUGCUGGAGGCAAUGUUCAAAGCCAAGGGGCUCGACCUCGACGACAUGGUCACCCUCUCGGGCGCGCACACCGUUGGAAUCUCUCAUUGUUCGUCCUUCGCUGACCGCCUUCCAGCCGACCCGUCGGACCCCACGUCCAUGGAACCCGCGCUGGCUAGCUCGCUACAGCAGAGGUGCAGCCGUGGUGGUGACCCCGUUGUGGUGCAGGAUGUCGUUACCCCCCGUGACCUGGACAGACAGUACUAUCAGAACGUACUCGACCGUAAAGUGUUAUUCAAAUCGGACGCGGCGCUGCUGUCGCCGCAGACACUCAAGGCUGUGGAACACAACGCCAAGAACCCCGGGAAGUGGGAGCGAAAGUUCAAGGACGCAAUGGUUAAGAUGGGCAACAUCGAGGUGAAGACCAAGGCCAACGGGGAGAUCAGAAAGCAGUGCCGGUUCGUCAACUAG